rnacentral:rRNA from 1 species
AAUCAACGCUGGCGGCGUGCCUCAGACAUGCAAGUCGAACGCGAAAUUUCCCUUCGGGGAGAAAGUAGAGUGGCGCACGGGUGAGUAACACGUAGGUAAUUUGCCUUUGGGUGGGGAAUAACUCAGGGAAACUUGAGCUAAUACCGCACAAUGCAGCGGCUCGACGUCGAGACAGUUGUUAAAGCGGGGGAUUGGAGCAAUCCGACCUCGCGCCUAAAGAGAAGCCUGCGGCAGAUUAGCUAGUUGGUAAGGUAAUGGCUUACCAAGGCGACGAUCUGUAACCGGCCUGAGAGGGCGGUCGGUCACACUGACACUGACAUACGGGUCAGACUCCUACGGGAGGCAGCAGUCGGGAAUUUUGGGCAA